GGGCAGGGUCUGGCGGGGCUGUGGUGGGGGAAGCUGAAGCAUGAAGGCUCGAGGAGCACACAGACACCUACACACAGCUCCGCGGGCAUGUGGGGACCCAGACCCACCCCCACAGCAGACACCCCCACAGAGCACUCAUGGCCCCCACAGAAAUACACCCACACUCAUCACAGCAAACCAAAACAAUCACACGCCGGUACACAAACACACACACCCCCGCACCAAUCCAGGCAGACACAAAGCUCACGGCGACAGGCAGAUCUGAUUCACACAGACACAGGCACAGGUGCUUCCUGAUGCCACCCUCUCUUGGUCACGUGCCAGCACUUGGAGGGAGGAAAGUGCCUCACCAGGCUGAGAUGCCCAAGGGACCCCCCAGGGAGGGAAAGCAGGACACACUGGGACAGUUGCUUCCAGCCCUGUCCACACCCUUGUGCCCAUCAGGAAAUAAUCCAGGAUCCAUUUCGUGUGGUCAUCUUGUCUCCCUGGUCCCCUCCAGCCUUUCCUCAUCUUUUGUGACCUGGUCACUCUGGAAGGGCGCUGGCCAGUUAGUCCACAGGAUGGGCCUCCCCUGGGGCUUUUCUGAUGCUUCCUUAUGAUGGCACUGGCAUCCUGAGGGGGAGGACCACAGAGAGGAGGUGCUCCUCAUCACACCACAUGGGGGUCCAUGCACCAGUGCCACUGCUUUCCAGGGCUCUUCACCUUCAUCACUGGUGGAGGUGGCGUCUGCCAAGAAGCAGAAAGUUGAGGCUUAGAAGGUGCACGGCCCUACCUCUUCCGAGGUGCCCCUGCGGGCUGUCUACAGACCAGGCAGCACAUGCCUGAUAGCAGCUGCAUAAGGAAAAGCAGGAGCCAGCUCGUGCACAGUGGCCUCAAGUGUGCACUGGGCAUGUUCUCUGCCUCACCAUCCCUGUGUGACAGAUGAAGUCUGUCUUUCAGACACUUCUGAUGAAACUGAAAAUGCCACCAGGGAGAAGCAGCUGAAAUAACACUUGUGCUGAGGUCGCUGAGCCACUGUGGAAGACAUCCAAGCUCCAUAAAGACAGGUCAAGUGCACAUGCUCCAGUCAACAGCCCAGCUGAGCCCUCAGCAUACAGCCAACACCAACUGCAAGCUGAGGGUGAAACAACUUGGAUGUCCAUUUGGAUGUCAAGCUGGACUUCAGAUGCCUGUGGUUGCAGCUCUGUCUGCAACUACAUGGAAGACGCCAUGUGAACCACCUAGUAGAGCCCUUCCUAGAAUUGUUGGCCCUCAGACUCUACAUGCAUAUCAAAAUGAAUGUUGUUUGAAGCCAUAA
rnacentral:lncRNA from 1 species